AAAAGCAAAUGCGACAGUAUAAGGGCUUAUUUAGUAUUAUGGUAGUUGGUUAUGUUAAAAGCUAACCAAGCCUUAGAUGCUUAGCAGGCUUUAACGAGUGAUCUGCCACAACGGGCUUGAAAUAGUGCCUGAACAUUUAUGGCAGCAGUAAAGAAUCUUGGGCAAUGCAUUCAAGUGUGACCCAGCAAGUCUCCGUGGAUGAUGAAGAUAUUAAAUUAUAUUGUAAAAUUCUAUCUUUUUAUAUUUAUAAUGAAUUAUAAAAAGGAAAGCACAGGCUAAAUUCGUGCCAGCAGCCGCGGUAAUACGGAUUGUGCAAGUCUUUGACCUCGUGACUAGGUGUAAAAGGCCACAUAGGAGGUUAUAAAAGUUAUUGAGUAAAUACAGGGUAUAAACCUUGGAAUCUUAAUAAAACUUUAUAACUAGAAUAUAAUAGGGG
rnacentral:rRNA from 1 species